AGAGGUUUGAUUCUGGCUCAGGAUGAACGCUGGCGGCGUGCUUAACACAUGCAAGUCGAACGGAGUUUUUAAACGGAAGUUUUCGGAUGGAAGUUUAGAAACUUAGUGGCGGACGGGUGAGUAACGCGUGGGUAACCUGCCUCAUACAGGGGGAUAACAGUUAGAAAUGACUGCUAACACCGCAUAAUAUAGCGAAACCGCAUGAUUUUUGCUAUCAAAUAUUUAUAGGUAUGAGAUGGGCCCGCGUCUGAUUAGCUAGUUGGUGGGGUAAAAGCCUACCAAGGCGACGAUCAGUAGCCGGCUUGAGAGAGUGACCGGCCACAUUGGGACUGAGACACGGCCCAAACUCCUACGGGAGGCAGCAGUGGGGAAUAUUGGACAAUGGGGGAAACCCUGAUCCAGCGAACCGCCGCGUGAGUGAAGAAGUAUUUCGGUAUGUAAAGCUCUAUCAGCAGGGAAGAUAAUGACAGUACCUGACUAAGAAGCCCCGGCUAACUACGUGCCAGCAGCGGC
rnacentral:rRNA from 1 species